rnacentral:rRNA from 1 species
ACUCCUACGGGAGGCAGCAGUAAGGAAUAUUGGACAAUGGGCGCAAGCCUGAUCCAGCCAUCCCGCGUGCAGGAAGACAGCCCUAUGGGUUUUAAACUGCUUUAGAAGGGAAGAAACGCCUACAUUUAUGUGGGUUUGACGGGUGCACCUUUCAGAAUUAAAGCACCGGCUAACUCCGUGCCAGCAGCCGCGGUAAUACGGAGGGUGCGAGCGUUAUCCGGAAUUACUGGGUUUAAAGGGUGCGUAGGCGGGCGAUUAAGUCAGAGGUGAAAGCUUUCAGCUUAACUGAGAAAUUGCCUUUGAUACUGAUUGUCUUGAAAUAUGUUGAGGUUAGCAGAAUGUGGGCA